rnacentral:rRNA from 1 species
AGAGUUUGAUCCUGGCUCAGGACGAACGCUGGCGGCGUGCCUAAUACAUGCAAGUAGAACGCUGAAGAGAGGAGCUUGCUCUUCUUGGAUGAGUUGCGAACGGGUGAGUAACGCGUAGGUAACCUGCCUUGUAGCGGGGGAUAACUAUUGGAAACGAUAGCUAAUACCGCAUAACAAUGGAUGACACAUGUCAUUUAUUUGAAAGGGGCAAUUGCUCCACUACAAGAUGGACCUGCGUUGUAUUAGCUAGUAGGUGAGGUAACGGCUCACCUAGGCGACGAUACAUAGCCGACCUGAGAGGGUGAUCGGCCACACUGGGACUGAGACACGGCCCAGACUCCUACGGGAGGCAGCAGUAGGGAAUCUUCGGCAAUGGGGGCAACCCUGACCGAGCAACGCCGCGUGAGUGAAGAAGGUUUUCGGAUCGUAAAGCUCUGUUGUAAGUCAAGAACGAGUGUGAGAGUGGAAAGUUCACACUGUGACGGUAGCUUACCAGAAAGGGACGGCUAACUACGUGCCAGCAGCCGCGGUAAUACGUAGGUCCCGAGCGUUGUCCGGAUUUAUUGGGCGUAAAGCGAGCGCAGGCGGUUUGAUAAGUCUGAAGUUAAAGGCUGUGGCUCAACCAUAGUUCGCUUUGGAAACUGUCAAACUUGAGUGCAGAAGGGGAGAGCGGAAUUCCAUGUGUAGCGGUGAAAUGCGUAGAUAUAUGGAGGAACACCGGUGGCGAAAGCGGCUCUCUGGUCUGUAACUGACGCUGAGGCUCGAAAGCGUGGGGAGCGAACAGGAUUAGAUACCCUGGUAGUCCACGCCGUAAACGAUGAGUGCUAGGUGUUGGAUCCUUUCCGGGAUUCAGUGCCGCAGCUAACGCAUUAAGCACUCCGCCUGGGGAGUACGACCGCAAGGUUGAAACUCAAAGGAAUUGACGGGGGCCCGCACAAGCGGUGGAGCAUGUGGUUUAAUUCGAAGCAACGCGAAGAACCUUACCAGGUCUUGACAUCCCGAUGCUAUUUCUAGAGAUAGAAAGUUACUUCGGUACAUCGGUGACAGGUGGUGCAUGGUUGUCGUCAGCUCGUGUCGUGAGAUGUUGGGUUAAGUCCCGCAACGAGCGCAACCCCUAUUGUUAGUUGCCAUCAUUCAGUUGGGCACUCUAGCGAGACUGCCGGUAAUAAACCGGAGGAAGGUGGGGAUGACGUCAAAUCAUCAUGCCCCUUAUGACCUGGGCUACACACGUGCUACAAUGGUUGGUACAACGAGUUGCGAGUCGGUGACGGCAAGCUAAUCUCUUAAAGCCAAUCUCAGUUCGGAUUGUAGGCUGCAACUCGCCUACAUGAAGUCGGAAUCGCCAGUAAUCGCGGAUCAGCACGCCGCGGUGAAUACGUUCCCGGGCCUUGUACACACCGCCCGUCACACCACGAGAGUUUGUAACACCCGAAGUCGGUGAGGUAACCUUUUGGAGCCAGCCGCCUAAGGUGGGAUAGAUGAUUGGGGUGAAGUCGUAACAAGGUA